GAGUUACCUAGCAUCAUGUUCCUAUGACUUCACUGUCAGACUAUGGGAUACAGCUAAUCCAUUGCAUCCUCUCAUACAGACAAUCUCCCAUCAUAAUGAGUUCACUUAUUCUGUUGAUUUCAGUGUUCACCAGAAAGGACUGAUUGCUGAUUGCUCUUGGGACAAAACAAUUAAACUAUACACUCCAUCAUUCGUAACUCCUCCUCCUCCUAUUUCAUGACAUUACAUAAUUUCUGUACAGUGUGAGUGUGUCUAUUUUUAUAUAAUUUUGUGUUAUGUACAUGUAUGUAUGUAUAUUCAUCAUAACCUUUUAUGCUAUCAUGUUCCUGUAUAUUUUAUAUAAGCCACUA